ensembl:lncRNA
UGAUGAAACAAACAUCCUGUCUCAGCUAGUCCCUGCACACUCUCUAAAUUUAACAAAUGCCUUGAGCCCUCUUCUGUUUAGACACCUUUUCUGAUUGAGGGUUGGGAUGACCACCUGUCCUGAUAAAAACCACCUACCCUUGGAAGGCAGUGCUGGCUCCUGAAGUGGGUCUUUCCGAUGGACCUCUCUGCGUUCUUCUUGGCCAGCACUGCUUGCUGUCGUUUCCUAUAAAAUACAAUUUCAAAGACGUGGAACAUCUUUAGCAACGCAAGGUCAGCCUGGUACACCGUGAGCCAGGACUCUGGGACCUUUUGGCUAGGCCUACAGGGCAGAGACUUCCGUCGGCCGAUGCCCUUGCCGGGAAGGGACAUCCGACGCGCUCCGAUGCUCUUCCUACGCGUGAAGCUGUUUCUGCGGACGGACGGCGUCUUCUUGCCGGGGUUGGCCCAGUAAACACAGCUGGCAAAAGGGGCCCCCAGGGACUUCAUGGAAUCCAUAGUGGAAGACUUCUGGUCAGGUUGGAGGUUGCGACUUGGGGGCACUUUGGAUGGAUGGUACCCCUUUCCGAAGGUCGUCUGGAGGUGCCAAAAUAUCACACCGCAAUACGGGAUGCCUUGAUGACAGCAAUGUCGCUCCCAGGCGUUGGGGA